AUCCAGUUGACGAGUCCAAAAUAGAACGAAACACACGUCCUGGAU
rnacentral:hammerhead_ribozyme from 1 species